UACUCGACGAAAAAAUUGGUU
rnacentral:piRNA from 1 species